rnacentral:rRNA from 1 species
CCUACGGGUGGCAGCAGUGGGGAAUAUUGCACAAUGGGGGAAACCCUGAUGCAGCGACGCCGCGUGAGUGAAGAAGUAAUUCGUUAUGUAAAGCUCUAUCAGCAGGGAAGAAACUAACGAUACUUGAGUAUGAAUACCCGGCUAAUUACGUGCCAGCAGCCGCGGUAAUACGUAGGGGGCAAGCGUCAUCCGGAUUUACUGGUUGGAAAGGGAGCCUAGACGGCAGUGCAAGUCUGUAGUGAAAGGCGGGGGCUCAACCCCCGGACUGCUCUGGAAACUGUACGGCUGGAGUGCAGGAGAGGGAAGUGGAAUUCCUAGUGUAGCGGGGAAAUGCGUAGAUAUUAGGAGGAACACCAGUGGCGAAGGCGGCUUACUGGACUGUAACUGACGUUGAGGCUCGAAAGCGUGGGGAGCAAACAGGAUUAGAUACCCGAGUAGUC